GCAUAUCAAUUAAGCGGAGGAAAAGAAACUAACAAGGCAUUCCCCCUAGUAACGGCGAGUGAAGCGGGAAGAGCUCAAAUUUGAAAUCUGGUGGCCUCAGGUCAUCCGAGUUGUAAUCUAUAGAAGUGUUUUCCGUGCUGGCUCAUGUACAAGUCCCUUGGAACAGGGCGUCAUAGAGGGUGAGAAUCCCGUCCUUGACAUGAACUACCAGUGCUCUGUGAUACAUUUUCAACGAGUCGAGUUGUUUGGGAAUGCAGCUCAAAAUGGGUGGUAAAUUCCAUCUAAAGCUAAAUAUUGGCGAGAGACCGAUAGCGAACAAGUACCGUGAGGGAAAGAUGAAAAGCACUUUGGAAAGAGAGUUAAACAGUAUGUGAAAUUGUUGAAAGGGAAACGAUUGAAGUCAGUCGUGCUCUUUGGAUUCAGCCGGUUCUGCCGGUGUACUUCCUUUGAGUGGGGUCAACAUCAGUUUUGAUCGCUGGAUAAAGGCUGGAGGAACGUAGUACCCUCGGGUAAACUUAUAGCCUCCUGUCACAUACAGUGGUCGGGACUGAGGAACGCAGCACGCCUUUAUGGCCGGGAUUCGUCCACGUACGUGCUUAGGAUGUUGACAUAAUGGCUUUAAACGACCCGUCUUGAAACACGGACC
rnacentral:rRNA from 1 species